CUGCAUUCUAAGCACCAGCUCAGUAAUUAGCAUAUGGUAGUACACCCACUAAUAAAGAUAGAAGUGAUUCUGUCUGAAGCACAGAACUCACGAAGUACAACUGUGGUAAAUAAAUGUACAGGACAUCCGAGGGCUCCAAAAGUAGGGUGAAUCUGGGGACUUUAUACCUGUACAACUGGUAGAAAACAGAAGACUCUGAGAAGACAGUAAGAUUAGAGCAUCAGAACAACAGAUGAAGAAAUUAAAAUGUAGAAGAUUUAACUUGAUCACAAUUGAAGUAAUAGAAAAUAGAAGAACUGGGACUAAAGUCUAGGUUUAAAUCCAAACUCAUGUUCCUAUUGCAUGCUAUACAACAUCAGUGGCCUCUAUGUACUGUGGGAAACUGCACAUCAGCGAGUCCGCCAAGGCCAUUUUGAAACCUGUUCGACUGUCCUGCGGGUCAGGACACGUGGCGCCUGGACAAGGGACCUGAGUACGAAGGAUCCAGUGAAGAGCUCCCAAGGAAGGCUCCAGUGCAGAGCACUGAGAAAACAGAAGAG